ACGCGUUUAUGUGUCAGACGCAAAGUGUUCCUCUGCUGGGUACAAUGCGUCAAGUAGACCCACUAGUCAGGCGAGGCAAAUGAGUCCAUUCCCAUCCAGCAGCUGAUUCGGUUCUGUUUGAGUAAAGGGGAUCGAGCCAAGAAAAAAUUAGAGCGCGGCGGCGGCGAUCUUGCGGACUGCUUACUCUACUUGGCUGGCCGCCUGACCAGCAAAGGUUCUAAUGGCGACCGACUACCUCAUGCCUCCAGUGGACAGGUAAAAAUGGGCAUUGUUUUCUCGAGGUUGGAGGUUAAUUUCUUUGUUGGAUCUCGGCGACAGCCGCCUGAGGAUAGCUCAACAAUCUUCGCGGAUGAGGCGUACAGUGCAGUUAUUCUAAUGGACAUGGUGUGUGGUGGAGCUCCGGGGCAGGAUGAAUCGGGCGAUGGAUCUAGAUGGGGCAUAGAAGACGCGGGGAACAGUGCAGUGGGAGGAUUUCGGUGAGAGUGAAGGCGAUAACGGAGAGGUGCUUGAGCAAGGUGACGCCCAGAUGACGCAGAGGUGAUUUCUUUAAUCUCUGUUUUCCAUCAGCUAGCAGAAGCCAGAAGCACGGUACCAUCAGGUUGGUCACCCCCACGAUGACAAAAAGUCCCUAGGUUUGCUCUUCCUCAGCUCUCUUCUCCAGCCGCCAUGUCUCUCGCUGGUAGCUCGUCUGGUGGCAAUAGAUCGAAGGCUUCGUCGCCGGUUGCAUCACUGCCAGUAGCUUUAGGACCCAGAAGGCCUGCACCUCUCGGGUCAGCACUGCCUUUAGUUCCGUGUCCGUGCUGUCAAAUGCGCCGCACGGUUCGGUGCGUUUCCAGAUCAGUAGCUAAUCCAGGACGUGUGUUCUACAAGUGCCCUAAUCAUGGCAAGGGGAUGAAUCCAUGCAAUCACUACUACUGGGAAGAUGGGGAGGACAACUAUGUUGCAUUCCUAAUCGCAAAUGGAUUCAUCGCUGGUGCUGGCACUGCAUCUGUUGAUUAUUCGGGUGGCGACUUUCGGUUUGAAGCAAUUGAGGAGGAAAUAGGCAGUGGACUAAAGAUGGACCAGUUGGUUCCGAAAAUGGAACAAUGUCUGAAUAAGAUGGAUCAAUUGAUUGUGCUGUGUAGGCAUGUGAUUACUGCUUUGGUUGUGUUGAUUGCAAUAAUGUUGUAUGUGGCUGUAGCUAAGUAGAUUAUGUAGCAGGAACUAGCAAUGAAUCUUUUGUGUUGUUGAUUGCAAGAAUGUUGUCGAUGUCGCAGACUAUGUAUCAGGAACUUGCAAUGAAAAAAAGUAUUUUUAGGAA